rnacentral:rRNA from 1 species
UACGGAGGGUGCAAGCGUUGUCCGGAAUCACUGGGCGUAAAGGGCGCGUAGGCGGCUCAUGAAGGCUGUGGUGAAAGUCCGGGGCUCAACCUCGGAUCGGCCGUGGCGACUCGUGGGCUGGAGCACUGUAGAGGCGGGUGGAAUUCCGGGUGUAGCGGUGAAAUGCGCAGAUAUCGGGAAGAACACCCGUGGCGAAGGCGGCUCUCUGGGACGGUACUGACGCUGAGACGCGAAAGCGUGGGGAGCGAACAGG